UUUUCUACUAGACUUUAAGAGACGGUAGCCCAGAGCUAGCGGCAGAAAUGACCAAAAAUGUGAUAAAAUAUAGACAUCAAGUGGAUAAAUCUUGGAGUUAAGAGUUUGGAUUUAUUGCUCAACAACCCUGAAAAAGGCCAGGUUCCAGGUUGGAUAGAAAAUCACCUGUAAAGGCUAGAAAGAC